rnacentral:rRNA from 1 species
GUGAGGAAUAUUGGUCAAUGGGCGGGAGCCUGAACCAGCCAAGUCGCGUGAAGGAAGAAGGAUCUAUGGUUCGUAAACUUCUUUUGCAGGGGAAUAAAGUGCAGGACGUGUCCUGUUUUGUAUGUACCCUGAGAAUAAGGAUCGGCUAACUCCGUGCCAGCAGCCGCGGUAAUACGGAGGAUCCGAGCGUUAUCCGGAUUUAUUGGGCGUAAAGGGCGCGUAGGCGGGAAGGUGUGUCGACCUGUAAAUCUAUCGUUUCAAGCGGUAGGCUUGGGUUGAAACUGCCUUUCUAGAGGAUUUCAGGGGAGUUUGGAAUUUACGGUGUAGCAGUGAAAUGCGUGGAUAUCGUAAGGAAGGCUUGUGGCGAAGGCGGCCACCUGGACAGGUACUGACGCUGAGGCGCGAAAGCGUGGGGAGCAAACAGGAUUAGAAACCCCUGUAGUCC